GACGAACGCUGGCGGCGUGCUUAACACAUGCAAGUCGAACGGAAAGGCCCUGCUUUUGUGGGGUGCUCGAGUGGCGAACGGGUGAGUAACACGUGAGUAACCUGCCCUUGACUUUGUGAUAACUUCAGGAAACUGGGGCUAAUACCGGAGAGGAGCUCCUGCUGCAUGGGGGGCGUUGGAAAGUUUCGGCGGUGGUGGAUGGACUCGCGGCUUAUCAGCUUGUUGGUGGGGUAGUGGCUUACCAAGGCUUUGGCGGGUAGCCGGCCUGGGAGGGUGGACGGCGACAUUGGGACUAAGAUACGGCGCAGACUCGUACGGGAGGCAGCAGUGGGGAAUAUUGCCCAAUGGGCGGACGCCUGAUGCAGCAACGCCGCGUGCGUGAUGACGGCCUUCGGGUUGUAAACCGCUUUCGCCUGUGACGAAGCGUGAGUGACGGUAAUGGGUAAAGAAGCACCGGCUAACUACGUG
rnacentral:rRNA from 1 species